rnacentral:piRNA from 1 species
UAAAAAUGUACCCUGUUUUGACAGCUCCCA